UACGUAGGGUCCGAGCGUUAAUCGGAAUUACUGGGCGUAAAGCGUGCGCAGGCGGUUCGUUAAGUCAGCUGUGAAAGCCCCGGGCUUAACCUGGGAAUGGCGGUUGAAACUGGCGAACUUGAAUCUGGCAGAGGGGGGUGGAAUUCCACGUGUAGCAGUGAAAUGCGUAGAGAUGUGGAGGAACACCGAUGGCGAAGGCAGCCCCCUGGGCUGAGAUUGACGCUCAGGCACGAAAGCGUGGGGAGCAAACAGG
rnacentral:rRNA from 1 species